UCUAGCGGUCUCACCAGCGGCACAGUGCAUACCCAAACCUCCCUAGGGUGACAUCAUCCCAUAUAUGGACUCUCAGGCCCAGCCCUCCCCCUUUUCCUGGUCCUAAAUUCAUUGCCAGAUCCCCAGUCUGCUGCAAAUGUGCCACGUCAAGACUGGAAAUCACAGCACUUCAGUGUGUUUCAGUUUUGCACACUAGGGAAUAAGAAACGCUAAGGGACACUGUGAAAAAGGAGGACUGCAGAAUAAUGCGGGGAAGACAUUCUGGUAAGGCCUACUUUGGAAGAACACCUGGCCUAUGACCUGGCGAACCUAGGUGACUCCCCCCCCCCUUCCUCCAGUCAUCACUGCAAGAAAGAUGGAGCUCUGAUGAUUUACUAAAACCUAUGCAAGAAAUGAGCGAGGUAUACUACCUAGAGGUAUACUGCUUAGAGAAGUGUACAAGAGCAUAGUUAAAGUCGGGCAUUUCUUUUUUUUUUUUAAUUUAAAAUAAAGCUUAUUUUUCCCCACAAACUAAAAAGGUAAAUUUAAUUUAUUUUUUUAACUUGUAGCAAUCCGUAUAAAUAUUUAAGGAGUAUAUCUUUUCUUAACGCAGAAAAGGCUUGCUAGAAGUAUGUAUUCUGCAUAGCUCCUGUUAUGAACUAUGAUCUGAAGAUCAAUUUUAAGAAAUUAUUUUCUCUUAAGUAAUAAAGUAAUAGAAAAGAAUGCAUGAUUAUUAUUUUAAACUAUUGUAAAAUAUAUAUAUAUAUAUCACUGCUGGGAGAACUGUACUUUGAUUUUACAUGCAACUGAAACUUCUUUGCAAGUAACCUAUGCUAAAUGUGCUAAUGAAAACUGGGGGGGAUGCCAUAGGGAAUAUAAGACUACUCCGUGCUUGGCUUCUGCCGUGUAGGAUACAAAAUAUUUGAUUGUCAGGAAAAAUUACCUCUGAAAGUGCAGGACAUGAUGGAAAAUAAAUAAAUAAAUAAAUAAAUAAAACAGAACAAGCAGCUUUCCAUCCCAAUACCUGCCUGGCCAUUGCUUAUAAGUGAUCAGCACCAAUUGAUUGCUGCUGCUCUUGUGUAUAGCUUGCAUUGCUGAUAUUUCUUCUAACAUUCUAACAUCUUCUAACAUAACGAUAAGUUACUUUGUCCUGAAUCCCACUGAUAGAAAUGGAAUUUGUAAACGAAUGCAGAAGUUUGCUUUGGUGAAUUUCCAGCUGUCCUGGUAGGGGAAAAAAACCCUCAGGCUGAAUGAAAUCCCCACGGACAGAAUAAUACAAGAAGUCUGGGCUGCAAUUUGAUACCAGCUGAACACCAGAGUCAGCUCCCCUAAAGUUAACACUAGUAACAAACUACUGCAACUGGAAAAAAAAUCCCACCUAUAUGGUGCUCGUUAUUGCCAGGAAGGCUUUCAAUAUUUGUACUAUAAAAAGAAUUAGCAGAAAUAUGCAGCCAUUAGUAUUAUAACCAGUCAAUUUUAGAGAAUGAACGUUAUAUUUCAGACAGCCUUGAUGCUGUACGAGUUUUAAAUAUAUAUAUAAUUAUUACCUUUUUCAUUGCUCCUUCAAUAAUCAAUAGAAGUCCUAUUGGGAAGAGCUGGUCACGUAGAAUUCGCGUGACCGUACCUAUGCUGGCUGCCUUAAAACCUAGGAAGCAAGAACUAUCACUGUCAUUUCCCUUACCCUCCCAUCAAAGCUUAUGUAUUUUGACUAAAAGUAUUAUUGCUUUUUAUAUUGUAGAUAUACUCUAGGUUGCCCACUCUCUCCUCCUUUAUUUCACCAAAGAUUAUCUUUAGAAUUAAAUUAGUGGAUUUUAAUCCGUUAGUCUUAGUAGGAGGAAGUUUUGCCCUCGUCGUGCUUUGAAGUGAAGUUACAAGAUAGUUAAAUGUAAUUAUUAAUAGCAAAUCUGAAGACACAAGAAUAAAUUAAAAUAAUGGAACCAGAUUCAGACUUGCAUUAAUAUUUCUGAAUCUUUGAGUCUGAUUGCUGUUUUAGGCAUAGCAAAUCUGAAAAGUUGUGUGACAGAUUUUGUUUAAGCAGUAGGAAAAUGGCUUUCAAGUCGCAUCGAGAAAGUUGCUCGGUUAUGCUUUCAAGGGGAAAAUGCUUGCUUGCAAAUUUUUUUAAUCUGUUGCUUAUUUGCAUAGCCACUUUUAUUAUUUUUUAUAAUUCUGAUCUAGAAAUUUAAAAAGUAUUGUUAUCCAGUCAGUAAUAGGCGUUUAAUGCAAGCAGCGUUCAAGAUAGCUUGUGUCAGCUUCUGCUAUGUAAGCAAGGACAAUGAAAACAUAUGGAACCAGUGUUUCUCUUAUCUCUAGUCUGCUAUUUGCAUUAAUCUUUAUUUUAAAUGACCUUUCUGGAUUUAGGAAGUGAUUCCCCUCCCAUACACCCAUGACUCUUCAAAGUUACAUUUUUAGACUGUAAGGCUGAGAUCUAGGAGGCCCCCUUGGCUUCGGGCUUGGAAAGGGAGGGGAGGGGGGAUUGCAGUGCGCAAAGCAGCAGAUAGAGAAAGAAAGCCUGCAUUGUUAGCAAUGAAUAAGGAAGUAUAACUGCUUCGGCUCAGUAAGCAAAACAUUUUCAAAGUGAAUUAAGUGAUUCUCUGGUUCUUAAAACAGCGCUGUUUUGGAUGAAACAAAUUCUAGUUGAUCAUAAUCGUAGCAGAAGAGAUUUCCAUAGUUAUAAAAAAUAGGUUUUAAACAUGCAUGCCAAUAAAGACAAGGUAGCUGCAUACAAUUUUUUCAUGACUUUUUGCAAUGACUUUUUGACUAUUUUUUUUAGUAAUUGCAAAAAGUAUUAGCAAAUAUUAGCAAGGUGACUACAUACUAAAUCACGGAGAGAGCUUUGUGCAGUCAGGAUACCAGUGCUUAAACCCGUUAUGUGAGUUAAAGGAUACGAUUCUUAUUAACACAGAAGGCCAAAAAAAAAAAAAGGGGGCAAAUUAAAGCCAGUAUGAACAUUUAAAGAGGUCAGCGUUUCAA